AACGCACAUUGCGCCCGCUAGUAUUCUAGCGGGCAUGCCUGUUCGAGCGUCAUUUCAACCCUCAAGCCCUCGCGGCUUGGUGUUGGGGAUCGGCCGCAAGCCUUCACGGCAGGCGGCCGGCCCCGAAAUCUAGUGGCGGUCUCGCUGUAGUCCCCCUCUGCGUAGUAACACACCUCGCACUGGAAGCUCGGCCUGACCACGCCGUAAAACCCCCCAACUUCUGAAGUUUGACCUCGGAUCAGGUAGGAAUACCCGCUGAACUUAA
rnacentral:misc_RNA from 1 species